rnacentral:rRNA from 1 species
GAUGAACGCUGGCGGCGUGCCUAAUACAUGCCAGUCGAGCGAACAGACGAGGAGCUUGCUCCUUUGACGUUAGCGGCGGACGGGUGAGUAACACGUAGGUAACCUACCUAUAAGACUGGGAUAACUUCGGGAAACCGGAGCUAAUACCGGAUAAUAUUUCGAACCGCAUGGUUCGAUAGUGAAAGAUGGCUUUGCUAUCACUUAUAGAUGGACCUGCGCCGUAUUAGCUAGUUGGUAAGGUAACGGCUUACCAAGGCAACGAUACGUAGCCGACCUGAGAGGGUGAUCGGCCACACUGGAACUGAGACACGGUCCAGACUCCUACGGGAGGCAGCAGUAGGGAAUCUUCCGCAAUGGGCGAAAGCCUGACGGAGCAACGCCGCGUGAGUGAUGAAGGUCUUCGGAUCGUAAAACUCUGUUAUUAGGGAAGAACAAAAGUGUAAGUAACUGUGCACGUCUUGACGGUACCUAAUCAGAAAGCCACGGCUAACUACGUG